UUCAGAUCAGUCUAUGAUUCCUCAAUUGUCAACUCAGGUGGAGUAAGCAAAGCAAAAGGAGCAUGGAGCUGCUUGUAAGUGUGCCUUAAAAAAAAAAAAAAACACUAGUUCAUUUAUUUAAGUGCAAAUAAUAUGGAUAUAAGCCAUGCUGCUUAGCAAUACAUUUUCCCUCCAACUUAAUCUAAACAAAUGUGUUGAGCAAAUUUCUCCGUGCCAAAAGUGCUUAAACAGUCCAAUGCUUUAAGCUGACACGACAAGCAGUUGGCUUGUCUCAACGAUAAGCCUGAUCCACGUCUCUUCUUGGCCAAAAAGCUCCAUACAACUGAUCUCCCUCUUACUGUAAAUACUUCCUAAUGCCCUGUUUUAAUUCUCCACUUUGGGCAGAGUCAUCUGAAGCUAAGACGUGUUCCUCUUAAAGACAGAGAGAUGGAGCAGUUCUUUUGCAUUCAGCCACAAGAGCCUGGUGUUGGUUUAACCUCACUGAUUGAGGGCAGAGAGUGUUUUCUUAAGUUCAAUAUCUCUGUCAGACCUUUGGCUCACAUCUUGGACACAAACAAAGAAGGCAAUGAAGAAGUGAGGCUAAAAGAGGUUGGUAUGGUGGCAGUGGACGGAUAGUGGAGAAUCAGAUGUAGAAAUGGCUGACUAACCAGCUCUCCUGCCGCAGUCGUCUGCCGUAGGAAUACAGAUAGAGAGAGAGAAACACAAGAGAGUGAACAGAAAGAGGUAUGGAGUCCAUUAGGACUUUUGCAGAGCAGGGAAGAUUGAAUAAUCCUGGCAAACGUUCACUCAGCUUCCCUCCUUUUCCUCUGUACUUUCCAACUGGGUGCCAUCCACACGACCUUUAAACUCUGUCUUACUUACCAGGACCCAUAAUCCAUGCAAAUAAAGAAUUUCUUACUAAAAAAGGCACCCCACCCUAUAAUGUAUUGGCUUGCGACACCACAACCUGUGCGUGGUUGAAUGGGCCAUUCAAGCCCAGAGCAUGAGAUCAUGAAUACAUGGGUUACUGCUCUUCAUUCAUCAGUAAAAACAGUGAACGGCUACAACACAGGAUUGUGUUGUUCAAAGGUUAAUCUAUUUGGGGUUCUGCUGUCUGGUUU